CCUUAAGCCUAGUACUGGCUUCGAGUUUUCGCCCGAACAGUUGUUUAAAUGCGCUAUAAAAAACUUUUGUGAAAUGACUUAAAAAUUUUUUCAAAUAUGCAGUACUAAGUUUUUUUACAAAAUGAUUUCAACAUGUUGCUAGCAACAUUGUCAAAUUUCGUAGAUUUUAAAUAUAUUAGGAAUAUGAAAGAAACUACACCCGACCAGAAGUCUAUGUGACUAAUCGCUAGGAAUUCAAUAAAAACCUCUGCUCCAGUGCCCUAAUUCAACUUGGACCAAUCCGUGUAUAUAGAGGGACCCGAGAAGCACAAAGCUACCUCUCUGAGAUAAGACAAACUCCAAGUCGCCAUCUAAGAAAUAUCAGUCCGGCAAUGCCAAUGCCAUGUAGUCGUCCCACGCCAUCGGCCUACCGCAGAACAAACGAAUGCCCGAAAUCCGAAGAGCGCGAGUUCCUGACUCUCUUAGUCUGAAGACUGUACUCAACGCAACGCCCUCCAUGUACAGGUACAAAGGUCUCAGAUUAAGUAUCGCAUUCAGUGCUGCUCUUGGAGCACUCCUCGUCGCCCCCGCUAUCAGCACCGCCACAAUAUCCUUUACUUUUCCAUCAUCAACACAAUCGUAAGAAAGUUUAUCAAUAGCUUACUUACUUAAAGAUGCAUUACGACAGGCCGGGAAUCUGUAGAUCCCAGCAGAGAAACUCCUCAAGGAUGUGUACUGUCUACUUUAGAAUAUAGCCAUUAACAAUAUAUUAUUGGUUCUGUAAGAAAAAGGUGUAAAAGUGGUCGUAUAUGCUGAUGACGUAGCUAGCAUUUACUGAAAGGAUGUUUUGUUGGACAGGAAAUUGAACUAUAACUCCGACAUUUUGGAAAGGGCAAGAAAGGCAACUCUUGCCCUAUACACCUGCAAGAGAUCGAUUGGCAAAAGUCGGGGGCUUAAACCUCGUAUCAUGCACUGGGUACAUACUGCAGUUCUCAGAUCUAUAAUGCUAUAUGGAUAUGGCCUGGUGGACAGCGCUUCAAAAAUCCAACUACUCUUCAGUACUCAACCUUGAUCAUAUGAUAAAAUGGUGUCAACAUACAAAAGCAAUUAAAAAAAUUUGCAACACUGUUGGAAACAUUAUGAGAUUUCACAAAAUUGAAUUGAUGUUUAGCAAUAUUUCCCGCACAGUCGAAAUCAGUACUAGGCUUUAGUUGUAAAAAUUUAAAUUUGAUAUUAAACUUCCACUACAAGGGAA